rnacentral:rRNA from 1 species
GACCCGUAAUCCGGGUUGCGGACAGUGUCUGGUGGGUAGUUUGACUGGGGCGGUCUCCUCCUAAAGAGUAACGGAGGAGCACGAAGGUUGGCUAAUCCUGGUCGGACAUCAGGAGGUUAGUGCAAUGGCAUAAGCCAGCUUGACUGCGAGCGUGACGGCGCGAGCAGGUGCGAAAGCAGGUCAUAGUGAUCCGGUGGUUCUGAAUGGAAGGGCCAUCGCUCAACGGAUAAAAGGUACUCCGGGGAUAACAGGCUGAUACCGCCCAAGAGUUCAUAUCGACGGCGGUGUUUGGCACCUCGAUGUCGGCUCAUCACAUCCUGGGGCUGAAGUAGGUCCCAAGGGUAUGGCUGUUCGCCAUUUAAAGUGGUACGCGAGCUGGGUUUAGAACGUCGUGAGACAGUUCGGUCCCUAUCUGCCGUGGGCGCUGGAGAACUGAGGGGGGCUGCUCCUAGUACGAGAGGACCGGAGUGGACGCAUCACUGGUGUUCGGGUUGUCAUGCCAAUGGCACUGC